rnacentral:rRNA from 1 species
AUGCACGCUGGCGGCGUGCCUCAUCCCUGCAAGUCGAGCGAACGGACGAGAAGCUUGCUUUUCUGAUGUUAGCGGCGGACGGGUGAGUAACACGUGGAUAACCUACCUAUAAGACUGGGAUAACUUCGGGAAACCGGAGCUAAUACCGGAUAAUAUUUUGAACCGCAUGGUUCAAAAGUGAAAGACGGUCUUGCUGUCACUUAUAGAUGGAUCCGCGCUGCAUUAGCUAGUUGGUAAGGUAACGGCUUACCAAGGCAACGAUGCAUAGCCGACCUGAGAGGGUGAUCGGCCACACUGGAACUGAGACACGGUCCAGACUCCUACGGGAGGCAGCAGUAGGGAAUCUUCCGCAAUGGGCGAAAGCCUGACGGAGCAACGCCGCGUGAGUGAUGAAGGUCUUCGGAUCGUAAAACUCUGUUAUUAGGGAAGAACAUAUGUGUAAGUAACUGUGCACAUCUGGACGGGACCGAAUCAGAAAGCCACGGCUAACUACGU